rnacentral:rRNA from 1 species
UACGUAGGGUGCAAGCGUUGUCCGGAUUUAUUGGGCGUAAAGAGCUCGUAGGCGGUCUGUCGCGUCGGAUGUGAAAACCCAGGGCUCAACCCUGGGCCUGCAUUCGAUACGGGCAGACUAGAGUGUGGCAGGGGAGACUGGAAUUCCUGGUGUAGCGGUGAAAUGCGCAGAUAUCAGGAGGAACACCGGUGGCGAAGGCGGGUCUCUGGGACGUGACUGACGCUGAGACGCGAAAGCGUGGGGAGCAAACAGG